AUGCUCACUUAGGCAGCACAAACAUCGAAACUGAAAUAAUACAGAAAAUAUUAGCGUGGCCCCUGCAAAAGGGUGACACACAAAUUCAUGAAGCACUGUAUGUUAAA